AUUUAAAUAGUUUAAUAUAAAACUUUGAUUUGUGGAAUCAAUAAUAUAAAUUUUUUAUUUUAAAUU
rnacentral:tRNA from 1 species